rnacentral:rRNA from 3 species
GGUCAAGCGAACAAGUGCAUGUGGUGGAUGCCUUGGCGAUCACAGGCGAUGAAGGACGCGGUAGCCUGCGAAAAGCUACGGGGAGCUGGCAAACAAGCUUUGAUCCGUAGAUGUCCGAAUGGGGAAACCCACUCCUUUUGGAGUAUCCAUGGCUGAAUACAUAGGCCAUGCGAAGCGAACGCGGUGAACUGAAACAUCUAAGUAACCGCAGGAAAAGAAAUCAACCGAGAUUCCCAAAGUAGUGGCGAGCGAAAUGGGAUGAGCCUUGCACUCUUUAUUUGUAUUGUUAGCCGAACGC